rnacentral:rRNA from 1 species
GCAUAUCAAUAAGCGGAGGAAAAGAAACCAAACAGGGAUUGCCCCCAGUAACGGCGAGUGAAGCGGCAAGAGCUCAAAUUUGAAAGCUGGCUCCUUCGGGGUCCGCAUUGUAAUUUGUAGAGGAUGCUUCGGGAGCGGUCCCCAUCUAAGUGCCCUGGAACGGGACGUCAUAGAGGGUGAGAAUCCCGUAUGGGAUGGGGUGUCCGCGCCCGUGUGAAGCUCCUUCGACGAGUCGAGUUGUUUGGGAAUGCAGCUCUAAAUGGGUGGUAAAUUUCAUCUAAAGCUAAAUAUUGGCCGGAGACCGAUAGCGCACAAGUAGAGUGAUCGAAAGAUGAAAAGCACUUUGAAAAGAGAGUUAAAAAGCACGUGAAAUUGUUGAAAGGGAAGCGCUUGCGACCAGACUCGCUCGCGGGGUUCAGCCGGCAUUCGUGCCGGUGUACUUCCCCGCGGGCGGGCCAGCGUCGGUUUGGGCGGUCGGUCAAAGGCCCUCGGAAGGUAACGCCCCUAGGGGCGUCUUAUAGCCGAGGGUGCAAUGCGACCUGCCUAGACCGAGGAACGCGCUUCGGCUCGGACGCUGGCAUAAUGGUCGUAAACGACCCGUCUUGAAACACGGACCAAGGAGUCUAACAUCUACGCGAGUGUUCGGGUGUCAAACCCGUGCGCGAAGUGAAAGCGAACGGAGGUGGGAACCCUCACGGGUGCACCAUCGACCGAUCCUGAAGUCUUCGGAUGGAUUUGAGUAAGAGCGUAGCUGUUGGGACCCGAAAGAUGGUGAACUAUGCCUGAAUAGGGGCGAAGCCAGAGGAAAACUCUGGUGGAGGCUCGUAGCGGUUUCUGACGUGCAAAUCGAUCGUCGAAUUUGGGUAUAGGGGGCGAAAGACUAAUCGAACCAUCUGGUAGCUGGUUUCCUGCCGA